rnacentral:rRNA from 1 species
CGCUGGCGGCGUGCCUAAUACAUGCAAGUCGAACGGUCUUUCUAUGGAAGCUUGCUUCCACUGAGAAGAUAGUGGCGAACGGGUGAGUAACACGUGGGUAACCUGCCCAUAAGAGGGGGAUAACGUCCGGAAACGGGUGCUAAUACCGCAUAGUUUUCUUGAUCGCAUGAUUGAGAAAGGAAAGACGGCCUUUGUGCUGUCGCUUAUGGAUGGACCCGCGGCGUAUUAGUUAGUUGGUGAGGUAACGGCUCACCAAGACGAUGAUACGUAGCCGACCUGAGAGGGUGAUCGGCCACAUUGGGACUGAGACACGGCCCAAACUCCUACGGGAGGCAGCAGUAGGGAAUCUUCCGCAAUGGACGAAAGUCUGACGGAGCAACGCCGCGUGAGUGAAAGAAGGUUUUCGGAUCGUAAAACUCUGUUGUCAGAGAAGAACAAGUUGGAGAGUAACUGCUCCAGCCUUGACGGUAUCUGACCAGAAAGCCACGGCUAACUACGUGCCAGCCGCCGC